GCCCGAGUUGUANUUUGUAGAGGAAACUUUUGGUGAGGCACCUUCUGAGUCCCUUGGAACAGGGCGCCAUAGAGGGUGAGAGCCCCGUAUAGUCGGAUGCCGAUCCAAUGUAAAGUUCCUUCGACGAGUCGAGUAGUUUGGGAAUGCUGCUCAAAAUGGGAGGUAAAUUUCUUCUAAAGCUAAAUAUAGGCCAGAGACCGAUAGCGCACAAGUAGAGUGAUCGAAAGAUGAAAAGCACUUUGAAAAGAGGGUUAAAUAGCACGUGAAAUUGUUGAAAGGGAAGCGUUUGUGACCAGACUUGCGCCGUUCCGAUCAUCCGGUGUUCUCACCGGUGCACUCGGGGCGGCUCAGGCCAGCAUCGGUUUUGGUGGGGGGAUAAAGGUCCAGGGAACGUAGCUCCUCCGGGAGUGUUAUAGCCCUGGGCGUAAUGCCCUCGCUGGGACCGAGGUUCGCGCAUCUGCAAGGAUGCUGGCGUAAUGGUCAUCAACGA
rnacentral:rRNA from 1 species